ACUUAUGUAACCAACUUAGUUGAUUAAGUUUUGAAUAAAGUUGCUUCGUCAUUCGUGUUCACCCAUACCGACUAGGAUCGUCGACAUAAGACUGUGCUGAUCUAAACUUGAUCAGUCAGACAUGAGAUUGUGCUGACUAUAUGAGAUCUGAACCCAAACUUUCCCAUAAAUAUUAAAUCCUAGGUCUUCCAUCAUUGUAGGAGUGCGGGUGUUCUACUGGUGUUGAUUGCUCUCGACUAUUACAGUGGUUCAGUUGCAUUGAGAAGACGCAACCACCCUAUUAGCAUGAGAUAUUGCUAGGUAAUGAUGGGGUUGGACC
rnacentral:lncRNA from 1 species